rnacentral:lncRNA from 9 species
AUGCAUUUUUUCUUCAUUUUCCUCCGGGCAGGGAGAGUCUCCAUAACAGCUCUGCACGAUGGGAGGACCCCAAGACAGCAGCCCAAGGAGGACAGGCAUUCUCGUGAGACAGCCGGAAUCCAGGUCUUCAGCUCCUCUGUGGUGCCGCAGGGGCUCCUGGGAGUCCGCCAUCUUGUGGACAGUGAAGGGCCAGCCGUCUGCUCUCUACUGGAUCUGAAGACAUCCCUGGGAGCAGAGCGGAUGUUGGUAGCAGAUUCCAGUAUGGGAAGCUCAGAGAAGGUAAGCAGGGUGUCGGGGAGCCCCUGCCUGGGGUCCUCUGCAGCCGCCGUGUCGCUGGGGACUCGGUGUCCGUCCCUUGGUGUGGUGCUUGGAGCCGAGGGUGGUGGUGGACACCUGUGGUGGGGAGGACGGUCAUGCCCAGGUGGGGCCAGGGGCCAAGUGGCUGCUGGGGUCACACUCACACAACUCACAGUCACUUCUAAUUUUUCAGUUUCCAGAUGGCAGAUUAUGGGAUUUUUUUCCGCCUUCAAAAUUGAACCCUUGUGAAGGCAACCAAUCGUGGACCUCACUCUCCUGCAAGUCCCAGAGCAGGCUGGACAAAUGUGGGACUUCCUAGGAGUUUACAGAUGGAGGGACAGAAGCCAAGGAGAGGCCACAGAGCUGGCUUUGCCCCCACCAUCCCUUGCCUGGACCCCCUUCCACCCGAGCAGCUUGGCCCAGGGCAACCCUUGCCCUCCCAGACUGCACACAUCCUGUUUUAAGGAUGCACAGCUUAAAACACGGUCGUGUGAGGUGAAUGUGAUAACCACUGCACUCCGGAAACCCUGCCCACAUUAACAAAAGAAAAGUCAAAAACCAUAUGAUCAUCUCAAUAGAUGCAGAAAAAGCAUUUGACAAAGCGCAACAUCCAGUCAUGUUCAAAACUCUCGCCAAAGUGGGUAUAGAGGGAACAUUCCUGAACAUAAGCAAAGCCAUUUAUGACAAACCCACAGCAAAUAUAAUACUCAAUGGAGAAAAACUGAAAGCCUUCUCACUCAUCUGGAACAAGAGAGGGAUGCCCACUCUCGCUACUGCUCUGUAACAUAGUUUUGGAAGUCCUAGCCACAGCAAUGAGACAAACAACAGACAUAAAAGCCAUCCAAAGAGGAAAAGAAGAGAGAAAAGUGUAUGCAGACGACGUGAUACUACACAUAGAAAACCCUAAGGACUCAACCCAAAAACUACUUGAACUGAUUAAUAAAUUCAGCAAAGUAGCAGGAUAUAAGAUUAACAUUCAGAAAUCAGUUGCAUUUCUGUAUACCAACAAUGAAAUAUUAGAAAAGGAAUACAAAAGUACAAUACCUUUUAGAAUUGCACCUCAAAAAAUCAAAUACCUCGGAAUACACCUGACCAAGGAGGUAAAGGACUAAUAUGCCGAGAACUACAAAACUUUAAUCAAACAAAUUAAAGAAGAUGUAAAGAAAUGGAGGGAUAUUCUAUGUUCAUGUAUUGGAAAAUCCAAUAUUGUAAAAAUGGCCGUACUUCCCAAAGCAAUCUACAGAUUCAAUGCAAUCCCUAUCAAAUGACCCAUGACAUUUUUCACAGAACUAGAACCAAAAAUCCAAAAAUUUACGUGGAACCACAAAAGAAAGUCUAUUCAGCAAGCAUUGCUGGGAAACCAGGACAGCUGCAUGCAAAUCAGUGAAAUUAGAACACACCCUCAAACCAUGUACAAAAAUAAACUCAAAAUGGCUGAAAGACUUAAAUAGAGACAAAAAAAAAAAAAAAAGGAUUUCCUGUUGUGGCGCAGUGGUUAACAAAUCCGACUAGGAACCAUGAGGUUUUGGGUUUGAUCCUUGGCCUUGCUCAGUGGGUUAACGAUCCGGUGUUGCCAUGAGCUGUGGUGAAGGUUGUAGACAUGGCUUGGAUCCUGCAUGGCUGUGGCUCUGGUGUAGGCUGAAUCUUACUGUCGUGGAUUUUACCUGAAGUCCUCUAUUCCCCCCAAAAUGUAUUUUUUCUUCAUUUUCCUCCGGGCAGGGAGAGUCUCCAUAACAGCUCUGCACGAUGGGAGGACCCCAAGACAGCAGCCCAAGGAGGACAGGCAUUCUCGUGAGACAGCCGGAAUCCAGGUCUUCAGCUCCUCUGUGGUGCCGCAGGGGCUCCUGGGAGUCCGCCAUCUUGUGGACAGUGAAGGGCCAGCCGUCUGCUCUCUACUGGAUCUGAAGACAUCCCUGGGAGCAGAGCGGAUGUUGGUAGCAGAUUCCAGUAUGGGAAGCUCAGAGAAGGUAAGCAGGGUGUCGGGGAGCCCCUGCCUGGGGUCCUCUGCAGCCGCCGUGUCGCUGGGGACUCGGUGUCCGUCCCUUGGUGUGGUGCUUGGAGCCGAGGGUGGUGGUGGACACCUGUGGUGGGGAGGACGGUCAUGCCCAGGUGGGGCCAGGGGCCAAGUGGCUGCUGGGGUCACACUCACACAACUCACAGUCACUUCUAAUUUUUCAGUUUCCAGAUGGCAGAUUAUGGGAUUUUUUUCCGCCUUCAAAAUUGUGAGUUGACUUCCAUUUUAAAAAUUCCCUUACCUGUAUCUAUAUUUAUAUCCAUACAUGUAUCUAUCUGUAUCUUACUGGUUCAGUUUAUAUUGUGUAUAUGCAGUAGCUAUCAUAGACUUUUUUUUUAUAUUGCAGAAACUUUUUAUUUAUUUAUUUAUUUAUUUAUUUAUUUAUUUAUUUUUAAAGAUUUUUUAAUAUAUAAGAAAAUCAUCUUAAACAUUUCCCCCCAUCUUCCCAUAUGGAUAACUGCAGUAAUUAGAAAGAAUUUGGGGGAGAUUGUAACAUUAUUGCAUGUGAAAUCUUAGUGAAAAAGUUCCCCUUUCCACCAGUCUUGACCUAAAACCAAGGUGACUUUUUUUUUUGGUAUAAUGAUCAUAGCAAUCUAAUUUCACAGGAUUUCUAUCCCAUAGCCCAAGCAUACCCCCCCCCCAAAAAACUCUCUCCUCUGGAGACCAUAAGUUUUUCAAUGUCUGUGAGUCAGCAUCUGUUCUGCAAAGAAGUUCCGUCUGUCCAUUUUUCAGAUUCCACAUGUCAGUGAAAGCAUUUGUCAUCGGUGUCUCAUUGUAUGGCUGACUUCACUUAGAAUGAUAAUUUCUAGGUCCAUCCAUGUUGCUAAAAAUGCCGGUAUUUCACUCCUUUUAAUGGCUGAGUAAUGUUACAUUGUGUAUAUGGACCACAUCUUCUUGAUCCACUCCUCUGUCAAUGGACAUUUAGGUUGUUUCCAUGUUUUGGCUAUUGUAAAUAGUGUUGCAAUGAACAUCGGAGUACAUGUGUUUUUGAGAGUCAUGGUUUUCUCUGGAUAGAUGCCCAGGAGUGGGAUUGCUGGAUCAAAUGGGAGUUCUAUGUUUAGUUUUCUGAGGAAUCUCCAAACUGCUUUCCACAGUGGUUGCACCAAUGUGUAAUCCCACCAACCAUGUACUAGGGUUCCUUUUUCUCCAUAGCCUCUCCAGCACUUCUUGUUUGUAGACUUUUUGAUGCUGGCCAUUCUGGCUGAUGUAAGGUGGUACCUCAGAGUGGUUUUGAUUUGCAUCUCUCCAAUAAUGAGUGACGUUGAACAUCUUUUCAUGUGUUUCUUGGCCAUCUGUAUGUCUUCUUUGGAGAACUGUCUGUUUAGACCUUCUGCCCAUUUUUGGAUGGGGUUGUUUGAUUUUUUGGUAUUGAGCCGCAGAAGUUGCUUAUAAAUUUUGGAGAUGAAUCCCUUGUCAGUUGAUUCACUUGCAAAGAUUUUCUCCCAUUCUGUGGAUUGUCUUUUUGUGUUGUUUAGGGUUUCCUUUGCUGUGCAGAAACUUUUACGUUUGAUUAGGUCCCAUUUGUUUAUUUUUCUUUUUAUUGUCAAUACUCUGAUAGGUGGAUCUGGGAAGAUGUUGCUGUCAUUUAUGUCAGAGAGUGUUUGGCCUUAGUUUCCUCUAAGAGUCUUAUAGUGUCUGACCUUAUAUCUGGGUCUUUAACCCAUUUUGAGUUUUAUUUUUGUGUAUGGUGUUAGGGAGUGUUCCAAUUCAUUUGUUUCCAUGCGGCUGUCCCGUUUUCCCAGAACCACUUAUUGAACAAGCUGUCCUUUCUCCACUGUAUAUUCUUGCCUCCUUUGUCAUAGAUGAGUUGGCUGUAGGUGCGUGGGUUGAAUUCUGGCCUUUCUAUCCUGUGCCACUGAUGUAUAUUUCCAUCUUUGUACCAGUACCAUAUGGUUUUGAUGAUUAUUGCUUUGUAGUGUAGUCUGAAGUUGGGGAGCCUGAUUCCUCCAGCUCCAUUUCUCUUUUUCAGGAUGUCUUUAGCUAGUCUGGGUCUUUUGUGCUUCCACACAAACUUUAAAAUAUUUUGUUCGAGUUCUGUGAACAAUGUCCUUGGUAAUUGGAUAGGGAUUGCAUUGAAUCUGUAGAUUGCCUUAGGUAGUACAGUCAUUUUGACAAUAUCGAUUCUUUCAAUCCAAGAGCAUGGUAUGUCUUUCCAUCUAUUUGUGUGUCAUCUUUGAUUUCUUUCAUCGGUGGCUUAUAGUUUUCAGAGUACAGGAUUUUUGUCUCUUUAGGCAGGUUUACUCCUAGGUAUUUUAUUCUUUUGGAUGUGAUGGUAAACGAGAUUGCUUCCCUAAUUUCUCCUUCUGAUCUUUCAUUGUUAGUGUAUAGAAAUGCUGUCAAUUUCUGUGUAUUAAUUUUGUAUCCUGUGACUUUGCCAAAUUCAUGGAUGAGCUCUAACAGUUUUCUGGUCGAGUUUUUAGGAUGCUCUAGGUAUAGUAUCAUGUCAUCUGCAAAUAGGGAUGGUUUUACUUCUUCCUUUCCAAGUUGGAUUCCUUUUAUUAAUUUUACUUCUCUGAUUGCAGUGGCUAGGACUUCCAGAACUAUAUUGAAGAGUAGUGGUGAGAGCAGACAUCCUUGUCUUGUUCCUGAUCUCAGUGGGAAUUCUUUCAGCUUUUCACCAUUGAGAAUGAUGUUCACUGUGGUUUUGUCAUAUGUGGCCCUUAUUAUGUUGAGGUAGGUUCCCUCUAUGCCCACUUUCUGAAGGGUUUUUAUCAGAAUGGGUGUUGGAAUUUGUCAAAGGCUUUUUCUGUGUCUAUUGAGAGGAUCAUAUAGUUUUUAUUCUUCAGAUUGUUAAUGUGGUGUAUCACACUGAUGGAUUUGUGGCUAUUGAAGAACCCUUGCAUCCCUGAGAUAAAUCCCACUUGAUCAUGAUGCACAAUCCUUUUAAUGUAUUGUUCGAUCCGGUUUGCUGGUAUUUCAUGGAUGAUUUUUUCAUCAAUAUUCGUCAGUGAAAUGGAUGUAUAGUUUUCUUUUUUUGUGGUAUCUUUGUCUGGUUUUGGUGUCAGGGUGAUGGUGGCCUCAUAGAAUGAGUUUGGGG